AAUCUAUGGUGUGGGCAUUUCUAAAUUAGUGUCUUAAAACGCUCUCAUGCUUCGUGAAAACUUUUCCCCUCUAACUGUUUAAACAUGAAAAUUUCCCUUCUUAGUUG
rfam:Gossypium raimondii Chr01_contig_715, whole genome shotgun sequence.